CAGAUUGAUGUCAGAAGUGGGAUUCAAAGUGGGACUCCAGUGACUACCAGGAGCACGAAGUGACCUACAGAUGACAGAAACUUCAUUGGCUUUGGCAAAGAAGAAAUUUAUUAGCUUACAAGGCCCCAUCUUGUCCAUGCACCUAUCUGCUUCCUUGGCUUCAGAGCAUUGCCUCCAAAUCCUCUACAGCACAACUUCCUCCUCAGCAUCCAGCCUUAUGAUGUACUGGGAUACUGUGUUGCCCCACUCUCCUUACUACCUGUGCUGGGCUUUGAGGCUGACAUCAUUACACCUGUAAACCAUAGGAGUGAAGAGAAGAUUGGAAGCCAGAAUAAGUGCUUGUCCAGAUUCAGAUUUGAUUGUUUUUGUGAAGAAUCAUUCAUAGAUGGUGCUGUAUACUUCCUAUGGCAUUGCAUCAGGAUAUAUAUAAUGUCCUAUGGCUGAACAGGAAACAUGGCUGGGGCGGUCUCAGGAAA